rnacentral:lncRNA from 1 species
UUUAUACCGUGACCGUGCUCCUCCCUUAUUAGUACGUGUACGUACUCGACCGCCACCUUGAUUGCGCGCGAGCUUCGCUAGCCGCGCCAUAAUCAGUGGCACGCAGUGCGGGCAGUGAGCUGGCUGGAGGCGGAGCUUGAUCGCCACCGCGCUAUAUAACCGUCGCACUCCCGCUCGCUCCCUCCCACUGCUCGAGUUCCAUCAGCUCAAGAGAACCACGCAGUGACGCAGAUCAUCAUGGCGCCACUCCUCCGCCCCCUGGUCCUCGCGCUUCUGAUCGCGUCCUGCGCCGCGCAGCAGGCGCCACCGGCGCAGCCCCCGCAGACGCCGCCGUCCAACUCCCCGCCGCAGGCACCUCCAGCGGGCAACCCGCCGCCGGCGCCCCAGGCGCCUCCGGCCGGCAACCCGCCUCCUGCUCCCACCAACCCUCCUCCGGCUCCGACCACGCCGCCCCCGGCGCCGACCACUCCUCCUCCGGCUCCCACCACACCGCCUCCGGCCCCGACGACCCCUCCUCCAGCCCCCACCACUCCGCCGCCGUCGCCACCGGCCUCUCCCCCGCCUGCUCCCACCACCCCGCCACCGUCUCCUCCGAUGAGCCCGCCACCCGCUCCCAUGACCCCGCCCCCGUCUCCGCCCAUGGCACCGCCUCCGGCCACUCCUCCUCCCCCCGCCACCCCCCCUCCGGCCGCUCCCACGCCGGCCCCCAGCACCGCCCCGACGCUCCCGCCCGUGGCGACACCGUCCGCGUCCCCGAAGAGCCCCAAGACCCCGAGCCCCGCCGCCGCGACGUCCCCGUCGCCCGCGCUCUCGCCCGCGGGCACGACGCCGAACGAAGACUCGGGUGCAGGCGCGCGCGCAGCCGGCUUCGCCACGCUCGUGGCAUUGGCGGGCGCGGGCCUCGCCGUCCUGCUUUGAGUAGUAGAUCUCCUCCUCCUCCUCCCGUCGAUGUUGUCACCUCAUCCCUCCCCGUGCCUCGACGACGUUGCUGCUCCUCCGUUUCCAUUUCAUCUCUCUUUUUUUUUAUUUCUUUCGUGUUGUUAUUUAAUUUUACCGGCUCUAUGCUCGAUUCUUGAUGUACGAUGAUGACGAUGGUGAUGCAUUGGUUUCUUUGGUUCCGCGGGCGGGUGGUGGUUAGUGUUCUGCCCGCGGGUGUCGCAUUGUACUUUUACCGCACUACAUUUUGGUUCUAUAGAGAGGAUUUGUGUACAUUCUUGGUGCAUUAUUUCCGUGGCAGUUGAAUAAAUUCUCUGUGCAUUAUUUACCGCGAUGAUCUAGUGAAUAGAUUUCACCCGUGAUCUGACUUAAUGGUACCUGCACCGAAGAGCCAAUGGUGCUUUGUAGUACGGUGUUGGACGAGAUCGCAGCGACAACUGCGACGAUUUCAUUGUGUUGGUUCAGAAUUCAGAGUUGGGUGCAAUGUAAUUACCACGGCGCAUUGGGAUCGCAGGUACGAUUUGUACGAAAUUAGCUAGGAACAUGUGCAUGUGAUGACCACGUCCAGGGUUGUUCGUGCUGCUGUGCUGAUUUAAACCGAAUUGACAAGCGAACCGAAUGAGCAAUUCGGUCUCUGGGUUUCUUCGGACUUUCAGAGUUGGGUGUAAUCACCACGGUGCAUUUGCAGGUAGGAACUACUAGUAGCUAGGAACCUGGUGUCCUGGUCCACGUGAGUGACCAUGUGCAUCUGUAAAAAAGCACGGACACUUUAGAUCACGGUUUCUUCCCCGACUCGCCUGGAUCUAGAUGCGAAAAUCGGUAAAUGAUAUAGGAUGUACUGUUUGAACGAAAGCGUAAUCAUCUGGGCCUUUUUUUUCCUUUUUAAACAAACGGGCCCAUCGGCGGGGCCCAACCUGAAUUAGACCGCGGUGUCAGGAAUGAAAAAAAAGAUGUCAUUGCUCAAAAAAAAUGGAAAAAAAAAAGAUGUCAGGGAAGAAAAGAACGGUACGAGAAAUCAUUCAGGUUUUAAAAAACAAGAAUCAUUCAAUCAGAAUUGAAAGGAAAUGGCGUUCCAGGUUCCAUAUAUCCAUUGCAUCGGAUACCGUCACGUAUGAGUUUGGCUAAACGGUUGUCGUGCUCCGCCUUCGGCAGAUUCCAGUUACACCAACAAUCAUCACAACUUGUAGCGGUGAAGUAUUUAUAACAGGGUUUCGAGGUUGGGAAAGCGGACUGCUAAAUUAUACGUUGAUGUAUUCGAAAAGUGAGCACGUAACUCGUAAGCACCAUACUCAAUAGAGUCCCUUGCUGAAUUCUGAAUGUAAGGUAAAUCAGCGUAAAAAUCUCUGGGCAUCCACGUGAUAUGAUCAGAAAUCUUCCCACCAACCGCUCGUACUAGCGAUCGCAGAGCAAUUGCCACGACACGCGUGCAGCACUGCUCAAAGUUCAUGGUGCAGGUCACGCCUCCGGAAAAGGGCCUGGGAUCGAGGACGCAGGGCAAGCAGGGCCAACGUGACAUGCUUGCGGAGUUGCGGUUGGUGGGUGGCCGGAGUCCGGAUGGGGGGACCGGCCGCGCCAUCACCGCGAACGAAUUGAAGGCGAUCACGCACGAUCGGCAGUCGCGCCAGCCCGAUGGACCCGGCGCCGGAGGCACGAGCGAGAAAACGGAUAGAGGCGCCGGCGCGGGACACGUAUGGUUCCCCGCGCAGAUCGCUGUCGGGACCCCUGCGCCACGCCCACGCCGCUCGAGUACGGCGCCAGCCCCGCCGCCGGGCCGCCGUCCUCCCUCGCUUCGGAGGCACGCCAUGCGCCCAUGCCCACGCGUGCGUGGGAUCCUGACCUGCUGGCUGCCAUCGGAUGAGUGCGCGGUACGCAAGGAAUCCGCUGGAGCUCGCUCUUCAGCAUGCCGAAUCACGGAUCUGUUUGUUUCGUGCUGCCUCGACGGAGGAAGAGGUAGAAUCUGCUUCCUGGUUCGUUCGACCAGGAGCGAUGCGUGCGUGCAGGAACGACGCGCGCGGAAAUGCGCCUCGGUUAAGUUGGGGUUAGCACGUCAUUUUCACUGAUGAUGAGAGGCGCUUUCGGCCCUGAUUUCUCGCUUCGGUCUUGCAUCGCAUGCACAUGAAUGGGGAGCAAGGUGUGGUUGGACGGGCCAUCGCGCAAUGAUGCGGCCGUGGAGAGCCGUGGACCAGAGCAAGGGGCCGGGGCGAUGGAUGAGGACGCGGAGCACAACUGGGCUGGAAGGAUUAAUGUUCUGGAUCGAUCAUCAGUUCAGGGGCAUGUAUGCCGUUACAGAUUUGCUAUGCCGUUGUGGCUUUUCCAGACAAUUGCGCCCGACUAGUCCAUCUCAGUAGAACAAUUUCCUUUCCCUUCCAACCUAGGAUGAACAAAAAUUUAUUCAAGAUGAAAAAAAAGACAAAUAGAUGCGUGAAUAGUUGCGGGAUCUAAUUGAACCCGCAAUAUUACUAUUCAUGCAUUGCUUUCUUUUUUUUGUGCACAAAUUUUUUCCAUCCUUAAAUUUUGCAUGAUGGUAGAAGAUGACAAAUGCAUAUUUUUACAUGAAUUUUUGAUGCGCAUUUAGAGGUGCAUCCACAGGUUGGGUGCACGGUAGCACUCCAACCCGCCGCAGGACCUGAACAUUUCUCCUUCACCAUAUGGGUGCCUCCAAUAACUUAAUUUUUUUUUGCAAAGGGUAGCUCAAAAUAAUUACUAUUUAUUUAAUUAGUGUUAUUCGAUUUGAAAACUGUUAAGGAGUUGAUCGAUAUGCCCGAAGCUUAUUGGCCGGCCCACAACCGAAAGGCCUUUUGGGCCUCAGCUGUCGGCCCAUGAACAGCCAAUAGCGUUGUAGGUAGCCCAAAACGGACGGCCAAGACCUCCUCCGUGGACGUCUCGGCCUCUCCGGGGGUGGCUCUGUCUCAGUCUCAGUGCUGGGCGCCAAGCGUGUACUACUUUAGUUUGUACGCCUGAACCCUUAUGUGCUGCUCUUGGUUUUGUUAACAAGAAGUGUUAGCCCUGCCCCCUGGUUUUGUUUCGGUACUAGCCAAUUGGCGCUCGAUUAUUAGUAGGAGUAACUGGCAAAGGUUGGUUAAGUUUUGCUGCCCGAUUUGCUCCAUGGUCUGUGCAAGUGCGACAGCACCACUCGCGGCGCGUCACGCGGCCUGUUCGCUUCAGCUUAUUCAACCGGCUUAUCAGCCACCAAACAGUGUUUUCCUCUCACAAUAAAUCAGUCGUUUCAGCUUUUCAGCCGACUUAUAAGCUGAAGCGAAGAGGCCCACGGCCGUCACCUUCUCUCCCGAAUCCCGAUAGGCGACACGGACUCAGAGACAGCACGCGGUGGGGUUCAAAGACCAAACAUCAGAGAAAUGUAGUUUUUUUUUUCUAAAUGAAGAACGACCGUACAGGCACAGGCAUACAACACGAGUCUCGAACCAGACGUUCGCGACGCCUAAACGUGAAUUCAGAGUGCGUAAACACAAUCAACCACAACCACCAAACGGAAAAGGCACGGCGCACGGGAACGGGAACGACAGCACUGCCUCUUGCCUAGGCCAUCAGGGCGAGGCCGACGAGCCCCGCGGCGCACGCCAGCACGCCCAUCGCGAGCGGUGCCUCCCCGGCGCUGGCCCCGCCGGUGCUGCUCGGGGUGGCCCUGGUCGUGGGCGCCGUCGUGGGCGUGGACGGCGUUGUCGUCGUCUCCGGAGGAGUGUCGUCGUCGGAGCCGGGCGCGGCGGGCGUCGUGGCGGGCGGGGACGACGCCGCCGGGGCGGUGGCGUCCGCGGCGGCGACCGUGACGGCGACCUUCAUGCCGCCGCUGCAGUGGCCCGGGGUGCCGCAGAUGAAGUAGCGCGUGCCGGGCGCAGUGAGCGCGAUCUUGGUGUUCUGGUCGCUGUACGACUGCAGGGAGUUGCUGGCCGAGCACGCGCUGUAGUCCGCCGAGCUCACCUCCGCCACCGUGUGCAUCGCGCUGUACUGGAACACUGCAUGCGUCCGUGCAACUUUGUCAGUCUCAGCGACUCAGCGAGAGAGAGGAAAAAAAAAUCUGCCUCUACAAUUCGCAACCACAGUGCGGCCGACAUGUGGGCCAUGUUAUGGGAUUGGGCUUGAGGCUAGUUCUUACCCAGGUUGUCGCCAACACUGAAGGUCUUGCCUUUCGCCCAGGUGGUGUAGUCCACACCGCUGGUCCACCCGGACGAGCCGCCGACCACGUAAUCCGUAGCGUGCGCCGGAGCGGCGGCGACGGCGAGGAGUACCAGGCCGGCAAUAACUAGAGUGCCAGCCAUGAUUACAGCUUCAAGAACAAGGGUGGGUCUGCAAUCUAGGCAGAUGAGUACACUGUUGCAGGAGGCUUAGCUGUGGGCAGUGAUGAGUGCUGGGACCUGGAGUGACCCCAGCGGUUAUAUAGGGUCAGCGAAGCGAUGCAGGUGCUAACUGAAAGUGAUUUGGUGAGUUUUGGUGGAGUUGGGUUAGUUAUGCUGAAUUGCUCAUCAGUCAUCACCAACUCUCCUGCUGGCGUCCCCUGAUUCCCUGGACAGUUUCUGGUGAUGCAGGGACAAGAGCCAACAAAUAUGUAGCUACGGUACCUAUAGAUGAUUUGUGAGUUUUAGUAGAGAACUAGAGAUGAUGGAAUGGCGUCUACUUGUUUAGGAUUCCAAUAAUUACUAGGCAGUAGGCACUCACUAAUCACCAGUCGCUUUAAGCACAGACGCACAACGACGUAAAAAACAACUGCAAGUUCACAGGGCAACUACGACGCAUUUUGCUCACAUCACAGGUGUUCUCAGUUUAAUUUCUCACAUGUGUUACAACUUUAUUACCAAGACGUGAGCAAUGGUGAAAAACACCCUAUCAAGACGCGCGCAUGUGUUUUCUAUAAAAAGGAAGUGCUUGUUGCUCUCAAUCAACCUGUUGUAAUUCCUAAAAGACUUCACAUCACUGCAGGUAGAACAUCCCUCCGCCACAGAACUAGUAGAAAGUUUUUCAUUACUAUUUUUUCUGAUCAACUUAUAUAGGUGUGUUUGGAUGGAGAGACAGGAUGUGACGAUUUCAAUUUUACAUGUGUUUGGUUGGAGAGAUAUUGGGACGAGGACGACAUCAAAGUGAAAUAUUCCUUGAAAAAGUGGGAUGGAUCCGUUCCUAAUAAAGGCCGGACCGAUCCGUCCCUCGCGGACAGCGCUAACGCCAUCUCGCGCAAGGCCGAGGCGGCGCCGCGAGCCAGCCGUGGCCGGAUGGCGGCGGAGGAGCAGGCCGCGGCGGGGAUAGGCGAGGAUGCGGCAGCGGCGGAGCCGGCCGUGGCCGGGCGGCGGUCGCGGAGCAGGCCAUGGCGUCGGUGGCGGAGCAGCUAGCAGUGGUCCCGCAAUGUUAGAGUGAAUGACAAUUGGGACCCACAUUUAACGGCACGAAAACGUCGUCCAUCUCGUCCCUCACCCAUCCCUCCAACUAAACACUAAACUAGGGACGUCCCCAUUCCUCCAACCAAACAUCAAGUGGAAUCAUCUCAUCUAAAAAAGAGGGAUGACCCUAUCCGUUCCCUCCGUCCCUCCAUCCAAACACACGCAUAGAUAACACGCUACUAUAUGAUAUUGCGUGAAAUGCUGCAUUGGACAAAAUACAACAUUAAAGCGGCUGCAGUAGUCAUGAAAGGUACAACUAAAAGAUGUAGCAAGCAAGUUUUAGUUGAGCCGUUGAACAAACCAACUUGAUAGCUUCUGCAUCGUACCUUGCGCGGACCUAAUUUUAUCUAAGCCCAUCGAUGAUUGAUUAGCUUUUCAUUGUCACAAGCAGGUUUUCUUUCAAACACUUUGUCAAGCAGGUGAGCCUGACGGCGAUUGCUGGGCGAUUCCUGCAGCUGCUGUCAGCACCUGUUAUACUAGUAUUCAUCAAGAUUUGAGGGGCCCUGUCUGGUUGGACUGGUGGAUGCAGUUAUGUAACAUGUUUAACUACUAUUCACUUAAAAUUUGCUUGCGUGAUGAAGGUAAGCACUGUGCAACUAACCAUGGACACUUCCCAUUGUCUGACCGCCUCUCGUCUGUACAAUAAAAGGCGCGCUUUGGGAUCAAUCAUUUGAGCGUUUACUGUCAGAACAGAAUUUUGAGUGUAAAAGGUGGCCGUCAUUCUGAAUGACUGGUCAGUGGCUUUUUUCAUGAAAACACCCAUUUUCAGUGAGAUGCAACAUGUACAGGCAAGUUGCCACACCUGUUUAGUUCAACAAAUUUCCAGUCAAACUGUCCACUGCUGUUUGACGACUGGAAGUCUGAAGCAUCAGAGCAUGAGAAGUCGAUGGCCUGAAGUCUGAAGCAAUUAAUCCGGGUGAAUUUUGCCAUUCCUUUGUGCGUGCUUGAGAGCAAAUGACGCCUUUUUUUUUAUUGUUGAUGUUCUAAACCGGGAACGCAAUUUUGUUCUUUCUUUAUGAAAGAAGGGAAAGUACCAAUGACUUUUGAUGCCUUAUUUUUGGAUACAACAAUAUAGAGUAUCACUCAGUCACUCCCAUAAAAGUACAUACAGUAGUACUAGCAGUCGCCCACAGAAUGAUCAGCAGAGCUAAUAAUCAAAUAAAAUGAAAUCAAGUUUUCCUCACAAUAACCGAAAACCGAUUAUUUCUCGGUCUAUUUCGGGACAGUCGCCGUGACCAGGAAGCCUUUGCCGUCGGGGAUCACGACGACGAGCGCUUCGUCGCCGCCGGUCACGAUGCUGUAGGACACGUGCACGGGCUUGCUCUCCCUGAGCGCGAACUCCUCGAGCCCGAGUUCCUGCCACUGCGCAACCUCGAGCUCGUGCCCGGAACCCCCGGACGCCGGCGGGCUAUCGCCCGCCGCGCACGUCUCCACGGUCAUCCCUCUCGGGUUGCCCCCGACGCCGUCCCUGGCGACGGCGACGAGCGAGAACGACCGCGGCGCCUUGCCCGCGCCGAGCCUCUCGCUGGCCUCGUCGACGCAGGCCCUGGCGAGCGCUCGGUGGUCAAGCGCCCCGCCGCCGGCGGCGGCCCUGAAGAGCACCGUCUCGGUGCCGGCGGCGUCGGCGGCUGCAAAGGCGUCGAGCGGGACGGACCUGAUGCGGCGGGUCAUGGUGCCCGGGUUCUGGAAGUAGCCCGCGUACUGCAUCAUCGGGAUGGUGGCGGCCUUGUCCCGGGCCUUGAUCUCGGCGUGCACGCGCGCCCACGACAGGAGGAAGCGCGCCAGCGCCAGCGGGUCGCACAGCAUCAGACUGCAGCUCACGCCCACGGCGUAGCCCCCGUCGCCCUGGAACCGUGUCAGCUGCAACGCCGCAGGGAAAACAGCAACACGUCAGAACUGUUCACGAUUCUGCAAGGGUGUGGUACUGUAGAUUCCAAAAAGAAAAAGCAGGCUCGUGCUCGUGCUGCAUGCUUUGCAUCACACACCACACCGUCUUCGAACAAGCUACAUUGAUUGCAGCCUUCCAGGGUGUGGUAGGGAAGAAGCACGUUUGUGCCUUUGUGUCGAGAUCUGGCUGGAUGUGGGGUGGCACAGGACACGUGUGGACCGCACGCUUCGCGCAACUUGCGGUUCUGUUUGUAGGAGCGCUUGCAGUUCGUUACGUGUCCCAGUCGAAUUUACUCGAACCACCUCGUACUGUCCAUGUCCCCUACAUUAUGCCGCAUACGGAAUUAUGGAUGCUAUACGUUUCUCGAGUCCACUCUGCUGACUGCUCGAGGCUUGUCACGGUUUCAUUCUCUUGAUUUGGCAUCUUAAUUUUCACUCUUGCAAGACUGAUUAGUGGAGUGUUAGAUUGCUUUUACAUCCUAGUUUGAGUCCGGUCGAUGCUGAUCCCACGGUGGACAACCACAACCUACCAUACUGACUGUAAUCUCUUUACAAUAUGAAAAGGUGACAGCUUCCUAGAUACUGAAUUCCAAAUAAGAAUUUGAUAGCUUUUUUCAAAGGUAGAAAUUGAAGGCUCGAAGUAGACAUAUCUGGCGGUCAAUCAAAUUACGCAUGAAGCAAGCGAUUAGAACGAUGAUCCCAACUUGCUAGUCAAACGUCGACUCGCGACACGCCACGCCGAUGAUCGGACGCUACUACUAAAACUUGAUUAAUAGUACGGUUAGUGUCAGGUGUAGGUAAUCACGCGAUUUGAGUCCUAAAAAAUUGGAAUAGGUCACACAUACCUGCACGAAGCAGAGGGCGCACAUGUCGGGAUCCUCGGCGUCCACGUCGGUCCACGGCACGAGCGCGGCCUCCCGGCGCUCGCGGCCCUCCUCGCCCCCGCCGACGAAGUCGUCCACGGAGGCCUCCACCGUGGCCAGCACGAGCCUGACGCCCGUGUCGUUGAGCUUCACCUCCCAGGACCCGUCGGCGCGGCGCCGGAGCCGGCCGGCCAUCUCUGGGUGGUCGGCCACGGCCUCGCUCAGCGACUCCUUCACCAGGAGCGCCUCCUCCUGCCCCCACGGGACCCCUGCCCCAGCUACCGCGCGGUAGUAGAGCACCACGCGGGCGCGGCGCUGCAGCGCGGCGGCCGGGAGCGGGGGCGCGGCCACGGAGACGGGGCGCGCCCGCCCCGGCUCCACCUUGCGCGUGGGCAGCGCCGUCUGCAGGGCCUCGAUGUGGACGUGGCGCGCGGCGGUCGCGGACGCCAUGUGCGGCGGUUGCCGGUGGGUGCGCGGAGGCGGAGCGGUGGGAGGGGAGGCUGCGGGUAGGAAAGGACAGCGGCAGCGUGGUACAGGGCGAAACGUCCCUUCCGCCGUGGCGCUAUUUAUACGUGCUCGGCUUGCCUGUUUCGGCUGUAUUGACGGGCCGUAUUAAUUGCCGUCAGCCCGUGGUGCACAGCCUGUACGAAUACGACUCCACCGAUCGGUGAUGAAUACAGAGCCUCAAAUGGAUUGAAACUACGGAAUUGCACGUCACAAAUUCAGAAGUAUACUAUUGUCGUCAAUUUUAGGUGAAAAACUUUGCAUUUCGAGCAUCACGUCAUCGAAAGUCUCUGAUCAGACUCUGAAGUAUGUGCCCAACAGGCCAACACCAUCACUCCUCGAGUCCAUGUGUCCUUCUGAAAGUGUUGUUUUCAUGGCUAAAAAGGGGUCCAAGUACGAAUGUACGAUUAAAUAAAAAGGCAACGAUAACUAUGCUGGGGUGUUGAUACAUCCCGCUAAAGUUUAGCACCCAUCACGUCGGAUGUUGGAUGCUAAUUAGGAGUAUUAAAUAUAGACUAAUUACAAAACUAAUUGCACAGAUAGAGUCAAUUAUGAGUUGGGUGCUUUAACCAUUCAGUCUAAUUAGUCCAUGAUUUGAUAAUGUGGUGCUACAGUAACCAUUUGCUAAUGAUGGAUUAAUUAGGUUUAAUAGAUUCGUCAUGUGAAUUAGUAUAGGAUUCUGCUCAUGUUUAGUCCUCCUAAUUAGGAUCCGAAAAUCUAAUAUCUAAUAUAUGACUGCUUAAGUUGACCACAGGAUGUCGGCCUCCAUUAUCGCCGCGCUGCCCGACAGAUUCGAGCACUAAUGACACCACGGUCACGUCAGGUAACCGUUUCCAUUCAAAGUCGCUACUGUACUUUUUGGUAGUGCCGUUGAAGGUUGCUUUUAAACUUCAUCACGGCUGCUGCAUGGCUGAUAUUCAGUCAUCUUCAGAAAAGAUAGCUAACAACUUGUCAUCAGUGCUCGCAUCUGUCGGGCACUAUGGAACUCCUGCUAACUGUUGAGCCUCCGAACCAGCAGGCACUGCCCGGUGAACGAACCUGUCGAUGCACAAGCACAAGCAUCAAUCCUCAGUAACAAAUCGCAUAGACAGUCGGAUCGGCGCUCCAGGUAAUCUGCGUUACAUUUUUCUUUUUUGAUGAGUAAGCACUGUGCUCAACAGCUCAACGUGUCUGAAACGUUGUUACUUUUCCCAAUUACCCUUUUAGCCUCAAUUAACUCGCGUACUGCAAUUAAGCUCGAAAAGAAGAAUGUUCCGUCAAUCGAAUAUUAGAAAAACUAUUAAAAGAGUAAUAUUUAUGUAAAGUCACUCACGGCAUAUAUGAACAGAGCAGUCACAAUAAAUGUGAUGCCUACCGUUAGUACGAUCGUUACAUAUGAACAACCAACCUUAUCAAGUUAUCAACCGCCAUCGCCUCUCCCACUACCCGUCCUUUUGUCAUCAACGUUGACCCCUGAUUGAUCCUCGAUGUAGAGUCAAUAUAAUUGAGCUCGCAUUUGGGUGUUCAAAUUCGCUUGUGCAAAAUUCUUAGAUUGACCACGCAAAGGCCAGGGCCAGCGCCAAACAAUGAACUUAAAACAUCAAAAAUGAUGUGCCGUCCAAUCUAAAUGUGUUGGGGCCAACUUUGUAGAAAUCCUAUAUUUUGACUGUGAUGGUGAAUUACUGGUUUUGCCUUUCAUGGAAAAUGCUUUCUCACUUUUACUAGUCGAUGUAUAAAUUUCCAUGAACUACUCCCCUCUAGUCAUAAAUGAGUGACGUUUUGGGCUGUCUUAAUUCACCCUUUCAAAUUUUGGUUGUAUAUUGAGUUUUGAUACCUGGGAAUGCUAUGUGUACAUUUGUCCUGGAAUUUAUAUUGUUCCUAUGUUUCAUAAAUAUUUUGUAAUAAAAAGUGCUCAAAGUUGUGUUUGUUCUAUGCCGAUGUGAAGCCAAGUUACCAAUUUCCUGCUUAGUUAGUUUUUAUCACUGAUUUUGUACUACUAUAAUACUCUAUUUUAGCCACUAAUAAAACAAACAAUUAUAAUACGAAAAUUGUUUUUUCUUUGAGAUGAAUCUCCAUAUGCCACCUUAUUGUCGGAUACAGAAAUAUAAGACUCAAUAAGGUAUAUAUCGAAUAGCUACUUAAGUGCAAAAAACUUAGCUAUGUUCAUCCUAGAAACAUCGUCAAUUCGUCACCCAUAUAUGGACGAUUUGCAACUUAGGUAGGACCUGCACUUAAAACGGCACAACUCCUCAUUUUUAUGGAGAUUGACCUGCUAUUACGUACUAAGUUCAUGGUGAAAUUUCUAAACUUCAAACAAAACUUCUUGUGGUAUGGCAUGUUUUGUUCCAUUAGGACAAAGCUUUGACCGGUUAUAUUGUUAAUAUGUCAUCCAUGUGAUACGAGAUGGUAAUCAUAAGUAAUAUCAUAAACGACUCUAAUAGCAUCAAGUUUGAACCCCAAAUAUUUUUUUGAAUUAAUAGAGUAAUUGUUUGUCAAAAAAUUUGACCUAACUAAAUGAAAUUUGUAGGUUCAAACAGAUGAAGUAGGCACAGUUUAUUUCUUGAAAGUAGAGUGACCUAAAAUGGGCAGUUUGUUUGGUGUUGUUACUUUAUUAGAUAGGUUAGGGUACCUAUUGAGUACGGGCAGUCCAGCCAAUCCAAUCGGGAAUUGCGUGCGCAGUUCAGAUAACGCAUAGUAUGUUAUUAUGUGCUGCUCAAGAAAUCUCUUGACCCAAUUGUAGUAUAGGGAAGAUCUAACCUUCUAUUACUAUAGGUAAUUUAGUAAUUAUUAUAUUGUAAAAAGUGAGAUUCCACAUGGAACGAUCUUAGUGUAAAAAAAUAUUAUAGUGAUACAAUUAAUCUUGAUCAUAAGAUGUUUUCUAACACUAGUACCAUAAAACUCCGACUUUUUUGUUUUUUAGCCCUUUUUCGGAAAAAAUCUCACAAAUAGGCCCCUGGCGAAACCAAUUCCGAAAAUGGACCCUCGGCUUGGCGCCAGGCUGGCUGGCGCCAAGGUAUAACGUCUUGGCGCCAGCCGUCCUGGCGCCAAGGCCCCUACACCGCGCGACCAACGUGGCACCGGCCCGCUGACGUGGCGCGGAGGCUUGGCGCCAAGAUCUGUGGCGCCAGNNNNNNNNNNNNNNNNNNNNNNNNNNNNNNNNNNNNNNNNNNNNNNNNNNNNNNNNNNNNNNNNNNNNNNNNNNNNNNNNNNNNNNNNNNNNNNNNNNNNNNNNNNNNNNNNNNNNNNNNNNNNNNNNNNNNNNNNNNNNNNNNNNNNNNNNNNNNNNNNNNNNNNNNNNNNNNNNNNNNNNNNNNNNNNNNNNNNNNNNNNNNNNNNNNNNNNNNNNNNNNNNNNNNNNNNNNNNNNNNNNNNNNNNNNNNNNNNNNNNNNNNNNNNNNNNNNNNNNNNNNNNNNNNNNNNNNNNNNNNNNNNNNNNNNNNNNNNNNNNNNNNNNNNNNNNNNNNNNNNNNNNNNNNNNNNNNNNNNNNNNNNNNNNNNNNNNNNNNNNNNNNNNNNNNNNNNNNNNNNNNNNNNNNNNNNNNNNNNNNNNNNNNNNNNNNNNNNNNNNNNNNNNNNNNNNNNNNNNNNNNNNNNNNNNNNNNNNNNNNNNNNNNNNNNNNNNNNNNNNNNNNNNNNNNNNNNNNNNNNNNNNNNNNNNNNNNNNNNNNNNNNNNNNNNNNNNNNNNNNNNNNNNNNNNNNNNNNNNNNNNNNNNNNNNNNNNNNNNNNNNNNNNNNNNNNNNNNNNNNNNNNNNNNNNNNNNNNNNNNNNNNNNNNNNNNNNNNNNNNNNNNNNNNNNNNNNNNNNNNNNNNNNNNNNNNNNNNNNNNNNNNNNNNNNNNNNNNNNNNNNNNNNNNNNNNNNNNNNNNNNNNNNNNNNNNNNNNNNNNNNNNNNNNNNNNNNNNNNNNNNNNNNNNNNNNNNNNNNNNNNNNNNNNNNNNNNNNNNNNNNNNNNNNNNNNNNNNNNNNNNNNNNNNNNNNNNNNNNNNNNNNNNNNNNNNNNNNNNNNNNNNNNNNNNNNNNNNNNNNNNNNNNNNNNNNNNNNNNNNNNNNNCCCCCCCCCCCCCCCCGGUCCGGUGGGACCUUGCCCGCGGCCACCGCAGCCCGGACCCAGCCGGCCCGGCGCCCCCCGCCCGGGCUGUCAAGGUUGCGCCACUCCCGUCAUUGCCCGUGGCUGCCCCUGCCGGUUGCCCACGAUCCGUCGCCCGCGUCAUCCACGACCGGAGGUCGUCUGACCACCGCUCGGUGCCCGCCUCCACGCCUUGCCGCCAGUGUUCACCAGGGAGAGGUAAAACUCUAAGAAGAGUUAUAGUUAGAUAGAUGAAUUAGAAUUAUAUUGAUAGGUAGAAUUUAGAUAGGUAGGUAGAAUUGGUAGAUGAAAUAGCUAGAUACGUAAAUUAGAAUAGGUAGAUAGAUUUGUUAGAUAUGAAAAUUAAUCUGUAUGGAUUGUAACGAUAGAAAGAUUAGAGGAUACUCAUGACACUAUUUAACUAGAUGUAUGUCCAAUUUUCUUUACGUAGUUAGAUGUACAGUUAGUUACAUAGUAAACUAGUUAUUUAGUUAAGCAGUUGUAUAGGUACGUACCUAACUAACUAUUAGGUUAGUUAGUUGUAUGACACAGUUAGGUAGAUGUAUUUGGUAGUUAGUAGGCAAUUGAUACUAUCUUAUUACAUACUAGAGAUCUAGUACUUAGAAUGUUUAAUUUAUUAUGGACUAAAUGAAUUGUGCGUCGUUAUAUUGAUAUACUAGAUGGAGAACGUAGUGAGCAUAUAUUACGGAGGCACUGUGGAAAGGGAUGAAUAUGGAUGUGUUAAGUUUGUUGGCAUGCAGUGCGAGGUUGUCAUAUUCGAUGAGAAACCAUCGUUUAGUGAGUUGGUUGCAAGGGCUCGGGAGGAGCUACAUUGUCAUGAAAAUGAUGAAAUCACAGUCGAGGGCAUACUUCACCUAGGUUCCCCUCUCAACAUUCAAAGGAAGAUAGUCCCAAUUCGGUGUGCAGGUCAGUGGGAGAAAUAUGUGAGGACGGUUAUGAAUGGUCAUUCCCCAAGUGUUGAAGUGGUUGUUCGUCCGGUGGGAGUUGAUCGAAAUCCUCGUCGGUUUUCCCGACCAAUGGGUCAACGGGCACAUUUCGAUCCUCCCGUCCCAGAACCUGUUAUGAACGUGGAUGUUGCACCUACUAUUCCCGAUGCUGAAUCUGCCCCUAAUGAAGUAGUUGGACAUGGUUGUCGGAUUGAUGAUGAUGUGGCGGACUCUCCUAAUGAGUUCCUUUUCACUCAGAAUGAUCCGAGUAAGUGUCUCACCGGUUUCUAUUGAUACGAGAUAAUCCAUUCGUUCCAUCCACUUAUUCUUUACUCAUAUUUGUACUUGAUGGCGCAGGAGAUAUUCCAGAAAAUGUGGAUGUGCCUCUAGUUGAUGCGCAAGUGCAAUGUGGAGAUGGAUUGCGUGGCUCUAAUAAUGUUGAAGUUUUGAAUGAUGAAGAUGCAUACGAGAUGGGAGUGGAUCUUGAUUCUGAUGAUGAUCGUCCUGUUGGAGAGAUGACAAAGAGUAAUAUUGAGAUGUUCAGGCGUAUAUUCCCCGGACGUCGUGAUCCGAUAGUUCACGAGUUUAGCGACCUGACUCUUUCCGAUCAGGCGUUUGCAGAAGGACGUGAUGAUGACCUCCUAGAAGCUCCUGAAGCUGGUCCUAGUAUGGUUAUUGAGGAGGGUAGGGUAUUUAAGGACCUUCCCGCAUUGAAGAGAUGGUUGCAAGCCUUUGCGGUGAUACGGAAGAGAUCGUAUAAAGUGCUGCAUUCAUAUGCGGAGCGCCGUUACACAGUUGUGUGUGACAAGGAACGGUGUCCAUGGAGGGUUUGUGCAAGAAAGCAAAAUAUCACCGGGAAGUGGAAGAUCACAAAAGUUGUCGGUCCACACAAUUGUGCUGACCAUGAGCUUACAGUGAGACAUCCGCAGCUAACAUCUACCCUCAUUGCGAAGCGAUUGAUGGGAAUAUUGAAGGAACAAUCCAACAUGAAAGUGAGAACAAUUAUAAGAACUGUUGAGGAGAUUUAUGGAGGAUAUGUGAUAACUUAUGGUAAAGCUUGGAGGGCUAAGCAGCGAGCGUGGAGGAUGAUUUAUGGGGAUUGGGAGUCUGGGUACGAGCAGCUGCCAGUUCUUUUUAAUGCAAUUAAAGCGGUGAAUCCAAGCAUGCAUUAUGAGUACAUCCCAAAGCUAAAUGCUUGGAAGGAGGACGGGAGGCAGAUAUUCGGGCGUGCGUUCUGGUGCUUCCCUCAGUCUGUGGAAGCUUUUAGGCACUGUCGUCCUGUUUUCUCUAUUGAUGGUAUGUUUUUGAUUGGCAAAUAUAGAGGCACACUUCUUAUAGCCAUAUCUUGUGACGCGAACAAUAUGUUGGUUCCUUUGGCAUUUGCAUUGGUUGAGAGGGAGAACAAUGACAGUUGGGGGUGGUUCUUAAGACUAGUCCGGAUACAUGUGGUUGGUCCUGGUAGGGAGGUUGGCGUCAUAUCCGAUAGGCAUCAGGGCAUACUUCAUGCUGUGCAAGAACAGAUAGAGGGUUAUGCACCUUUGCAUCAUCGUUGGUGCACUCGGCACCUUGCGGAGAACCUUCUUCGGAAGGAUGGUGUGAAGGAUAAUUUUGAUCUGUUUCAAGUUGCAGCACGGCAGCUUGAGGACUAUUACUUUCAGCGCAAAUUGGAGCAGGUAAGGACCGCAACAAAUGCAGAAGGUCGACAUUGGCUUGCUGGUUUGAUGAGAGAUGUAGAUAAGUGGACUAGAGCUCACGACGCCGGUGGUUGGAGGUACGAGUUUCAGUGCAGUAACAUGGCCGAGUCAUUCAAUAAGUUGUUAUUGGGGAUACGUGGUAUGCCUGUGAACGCAAUCGUUGAAUUCACCUUCUACAGGCUUGUUGCGUGGUUCAAUGAAAGACACGCAAAAGCAGAAGCGUUGCAGGUUGCUGGGGAGAGAUGGGCUGAAAAACCAAAGAGACAUCUCAUCAUUGCAAAUGAAAGGGCUUCCACACAUGAGGUGCAAUGUUUUGAUCUCGACUCAGGGACUUAUCAGGUGGAGCAUAGGGGCGGUACAACGUCCGACGGUGAGAUCCGAGAGUCGAGGAUACAUGUGGUAGUUCUCCGAGAUUUCAAGUGCACUUGUGGUAGGCCAAGGCAGUACCACUUCGUAUGUUCUCAUUUGGUGGCAGCAGCUAGGCAUCGCAAUUUUGAUAUCGAGAGCAUGAUACCACAUGAGUUCAGCUUAGACACCCUUGUGCGGACAUGGAGCCCCCGCUCCUCGUAUAUAAGCGUGCCCUAACUUAUCGGUGUAUUCGNNNNNNNNNNNNNNNNNNNNNNNNNNNNNNNNNNNNNNNNNNNNNNNNNNNNNNNNNNNNNNNNNNNNNNNNNNNNNNNNNNNNNNNNNNNNNNNNNNNNNNNNNNNNNNNNNNNNNNNNNNNNNNNNNNNNNNNNNNNNNNNNNNNNNNNNNNNNNNNNNNNNNNNNNNNNNNNNNNNNNNNNNNNNNNNNNNNNNNNNNNNNNNNNNNNNNNNNNNNNNNNNUUCGUAUGUUCUCAUUUGGUGGCAGCAGCUAGGCAUCGCAAUUUUGAUAUCGAGAGCAUGAUACCACAUGAGUUCAGCUUAGACACCUUGUGCGGACAUGGAGCCCCCGCUUCGUGCCUUUCCGGGAUCCUAGAGAGUGGCCUCCGUAUGAUGGGCUAAAAUAUGUUGCGGAUCUUGCAUACCGUUGGAACAAACGUGGAACAAGGAAGCGGACGAGGCAUAACAUGACUAUGGAUCAGGUAUCCGGAAGAACGAGGCGUGGUAGAGCAACACCAUUUCUUGCUGAUCCAGAACAGAACGAGUGCGGCAAGUGCGGCAGAUUGGGUCAUAAUUCACGCACUUGCCGUUGGCAAAUUAGUGAGGUGCGACUAGUAGCUCUUUUCGUUACUUGAUAUGUGUUUUAUUCAUACAGGUUGUGUUUUCUACAUCUCUAACUUCAUGAUUUAUUGUUUACCAAUCUUAUUUCUUUUUGCUUUUUUGUAGGAUGGCGCACUUCCACCUUCUAGACCAGGCGUACGACCAGACCCACCGAGGUCGUUUCAUAGCGGGAGGGUAGGUAAUAAUUUACAAUUCAUGAUUAAAGGUUUGCGAGCGUCCACAUAUUGUGUCCUAUUUAAUCUCUGACUUGGUUUAUUUGCAUGCAGGUCCUUCCGCUCCUUCGUUCUAGAGCCCAUGAUGGGUUUUUGGCGCUGCAGUACGACGACCGCUACACUCCUUUGCUACAGAUGGCUGGCCUAGAUGUCAUCUCGUAUCAGGUUCGUCGUGGGAUGCCCAAGUUCAAUUCAGCGGCUAUAACUGCGUUGGUUGACAGGUACUGUUAGCACUAGUCAUAUUCAUUUUGUUAUGUCUUUACAUGUUAUCAAAUAAUAAUCCGGCGAAAUGUAGGUGGCGACCCGAGACUCACAGCUUUCACCUCCCGUUCGGAGAGAUGACAGUGACCCUACAGGACUGUCAGAAGAUGCUGGGUCUGUCGAUUCGGGGCCAGCCAGUCACUGGGCCGUGCGUCUCAGAUGGUUGGAGAGCACGAGUCGCAGCCUUCCUGGGGCGAGAGAUUGAGGAGCAGGGGACUCGCACAUCUGGAGUGCUAAUCUCAUGGCUGCGGGAACACUUCGGCCACUGCCCCCAGGACGCGGAUGCUGAGACAGUUGGGCACUACUGCAGGGCGUGGAUACUACACCUCUUUGCCUGCGUUCUUUUCCCAGACGCUACAGGUGACACAGCGUCUUGGAUGUGGAUGCACUGCCUCACUGACUAGCACCAGGCUGGUUUUUACAGCUGGGGAUCAGCUGUGUUGUGCUUUCUAUACCGGCAGCUGUGCGAGGCGUGCCGUCGGACUUCGGGCUCUCCGUCAGUUGGUGGGUGUGUCUACCUGUUGCAAUUAUGGAUGUGGUCCCGUAUUCCUGUUGGUCGGCCCGAGAUUAUACCGCGUCGACCGUGGUUCCCAGGUGAGCCGCCGAGACGACAGCCGACAUGGGCAUAUAUUUGGGAUCAGGUUAAGGUUAGCCAUACGAGGUUGGACCGCGCGUACCUUGAUUACAUCAACGAGAUAGACGCGCUCACUGCUCACAGUGUAAGUGAUUUUUUUUAGACAUGCUUUGUAAUCUUUUAGUAUAACAACUAACGUUUUUUAUUCAAAUUUUGCAGGUAAAUUGGCAGCCUUACGACGGAGACGAUCCACUUCCUUUUCCCCUUAGCUUCAUGUGUGCGACGGACGAUGAUAUUUAUAGGAUGGUGUGCCCUCUUAUUUGCUUCUAUGCUGUCGAGUACCACCUGCCACAUCGAGUCGCACGUCAAUUUGGGAUGAGGCAGAUUUGGCCACCACAGGCGACCUCGACUAGUAUAGAGUUACAUAAGUAAGUCUUUUCCUAUUUCAUAUAUUUCAAUACUAUUAACUAAAUUUUGGCUAACACUAACAUGUAACGUGACGUGCAGCGUGGAUCGAAAGAAGAAAAGGAAGGUCUCCGAGUGGGCCUCGUUCCACCACGCAUACAUUCAGGAAUGGGAGCUGUUCGAGGAGAACGUGGACGAGAACAACGAGCCGCACACAAACAGUGCGUACAGACAAUACCAGAGCUGGUACCAAGGUGCGACGCGGCACAGGCUGAGGGAAGCGUGGACGCAAGAUGACUACGCCGAAAUCCAGUCAUCCGACGAUGAAGACACGGUGUACGAUCAGAGUACUCAUGCUGGAAGGCAGGUGGAGGCAGGACCAAUCCUGGAUAGGAUGGUAAGACAAUUGCUUCACUUUUCUAUGUUCUAUGUUACGUUACGUAGAGAUUUAGAUAGUUAGAGAAGGACUUAGUGAUCAUCUGACUUAAUCAUUUAGUCAUUUAGUGACUUAGACAUUUGUUGCUUCAGUGACUUAGUCAUUUGUUGCAUUAGUGACUUAGUCAUUUGUUGCAGGGCCGUACCCUACAAACCUCGGUUAGAGAUAUAGAGCAUAUCCGUCCACGAGUUAGGGACCCCGAGGUACGGAGCAUCCUAGAGGUAAGUCUCAAAUUAUUCUUUCUAAUCCUUUAUUAAUACGUUACAUUCUUCAUUUGUGUAACUUGAUUUUACUACUGCAGCGAUUGUCAAAUCGGCUUCGUCGUGCCGCUGCUCGUUGUGGUUGCAGGACUGCCACGACGCGAGACGUCCACGUUCCAGCCCUUCGCGUGCCAGGCGUCGGUACGUCCAGCCAAGGCCCCUCAGGUUCGAAAUCAAUUGCAUCCGAGGAAGUCGACGACGACGACGAUGACGACGACGAUGAGCAGAGGGCCAAGGAGAUUGGCCCGUAUCAGCUCCAGGAGGCUCCCUUGACUCAGCCUGCACAAGUUGUAGGGGGUACUAGACUACGUCAUCCACGUUCUCCUUACACUCCAGGCACCGACGCCCUUGGUCACAAGGGUAAGGGUAAGACUAGGAGGCAGUGACGACUCUGAUUGCGAACUUUGUAUCAUAUGGACUAUUGUGUCAUUCUGAAUUAUUUGUGGAUUCUAUUGUGUCAUUCUGAACUUUGUAUAAGGACUUUCUCCCUUAACUAUUGUGGAUUCUAUUCUGAAUGUGUCAUAUGCUUGUGUCAUAUGCUUCUAUGUUUCUAUGCUUGUAUUUAUAUUCACUAUUCAUCUCGUAAUUUUGUAUGGAUUGCAUCAACAAGUAGGGGAAAUUCUGCCGAAAUUUCGCUAACAAUUACCAUUUUUAUUUUCUACGGAUAUUUCAGUAGACUACGACUUCGAAAUGCAUUACAUCGCAAAAUGAACAUAUGUCGUCUACAAAUUUCAUGUCCUUACUUAAAGUGCAUUAUUACACGACAACAUAAUAAAAGUCUCACAGUAGAAAAUAUUGUUCAUAAAUAAACCAUAGAACUAGAACCUAAAUAUGGCUACUGAGUGCAACGAGGCCACUUUCCCUUCCUUAAGGCAUCGGGAUUCUCCUCAACCGCUGCUUUCGCUCAGCGUGCCCGCUCAAGCUUCUUCUCUCUCUCCUCCCUGUUCGCAGCAACCCGCCUCCUUUCCUCCUCUUCCUUGUGCUCCUUUUCCGCAGCCUCCUCUACGAGCCUCUUCUCGUACACCUCCUUCCUCUCUGCAUCCCAGCGCAUCAUAUACUCCAAAAACUCCUUAUCUUCAGGAUCGAUCUCAGUGUCGAUCCACUGCUCAAAAUCAUAUAGCGGUGGAGGGGUCUACAACAAAUGCAAUUGUUAUAAAACAAAAAAAUUAUGGACAAUAAUUAUAAGAUAACAACAUUUCCUUACCAACAUGUUAAUGCGGCGCUGACGAAGUGUAGGUUCAAACGCAAAGUUGGAACACAUCCAAUACCUCUGCCUAUACGUGGCAUGUUCUUCGGACUUGGCUACCUUGCAAGGAUCGCCGCAAAAGCACAUCGACACUGGAACACCACUAGGCAGAGGCAAUGGAUCGAACGCAUUUCCGGUCUUCUUUGCGCCAUAACUACAAUUUUGUUUAUUUGGUUCUAUGAAUCAAACGCACUUAAGAAUAAACCUACAAUUAAGGUUUUUUCAUUUGAUCCACAACAAUGAGUAUAUAACAUAACUACGGGCGUUGAGAUUACCUUAGUUUCUUAGCUUUUCCACGCCUCGGCAUCCUACAUUUGCAUGAAACCCUAAGUUCAAAAAUGCAAGAAAUAUAUAGCGAAUCGAUGUGAAAAAAAGGUAUGACGGAGAGAGGAUACCUUGCUCUUCAGGAUCCACGGAUCAAAUGAAAGUUUUCUAACCUAUAAUGUCGAUUCGUAGUCUAGAGCGAAGUAGGGAGAGUAAAACCCGAGAGAGUAGAGAAUAAUGAGGGAGGAACUCUCGGGCAGGAAGAAGGGGGGUUAUAUAUGGCAGGGGGCUUGGCGCCAGGGAGGCUGGCGCCGAGCCUCGGCGCCAAGAUCUAUGGCGCCAAGGCUUGGCGCCAGCGACGGUGGCGCCGAGGCUUGGCGCCACAGAUCUUGGCGCCAAGCCUCCGCGCCACGUCAGCGGGCCGGUGCCACGUUGGUCGCGCGGUGUAGGGGCCUUGGCGCCAGGACGGCUGGCGCCAAGACGUUAUACCUUGGCGCCAGCCAGGCCGAGGGUCCAUUUUCGGAAUUGGUUUCGCCAGGGGCCUAUUUGUGAGAUUUUUUCCGAAAAAGGUCAAAAAAACAAAAAAGACGGCCAUAAAACUAGCUGUAAGCUAGGCUUGUUUUUAAUGCCCACUUGUUGCUACAGUACUCCUACUAAUUCAUUUAGGCGAAUCUACGCCAACAGAUUAACAGGAAAUCGUGUAGCGGAGCUGAGCGCUGCAGCUAGCUGACGGUUUGCUUACCAGCAACUGACGGAGCCAAUAAAUCAGCUAGCCCGAAGCUUAUUUCCUCACCAACCACCAACUGCCAAUUUGUGCCGUACUACAUGGGCCUUGUUUUUGCUUAAACAAGCUGUAGUUUUACAUUAGAUUAGAGCAUGUUUGGAUACCCUGUGUUAAAAUUUAACACCCGUCACAUCGGAUGUUUGGAUGCUAAUUAGGAGUAUUAAACAUAGGCUAAUUACAAAACUAAUUGCACAGAUGGAGUCUAAUUCGCGAGACGAAUCUAUUAAGCCUAAUUAGUCCAUGAUUUGACAAUGUGGUGCUACAGUAACCAUUUGCUAAUGAUGGAUUAAUUAGGCUUAAUAGAUUCGUCUCGCGAAUUAGCACAGGGUUCUGCAAUUAGUUUUAUAAUUAGCUCAUGUUUAGUUCUCCUAAUUAGCAUCCGAACAUCCGAUGUGACACUGUUAAAGUUUAACACCUCGUAUCCAAACACCCCCGGGGUGUUUAACACUCUCAAAUAGAGUGCUAAAGUUUAACACAUUGGGGUGUUUGGAUGAUGUGUUAAACUUUAACAUCUUUAGUGGGAAAUGACUCCAUUGCCCCCUCAUUUAUGGCCAGCGGAGAGAGAGGGAGGAGAGAGAAGGGGUAACCUGGGAAAAAGUGGAGAGGGGACCACUUUUAACACCUUUAGCAAGUUUUAACACCCCCUUCAUGUAUUUAUGAAAAAUAGGGUGUUAAACUUUAACACUCCACUUUUAACACAAGUGUUUGGAUAGGAAAGUGUUAAAAAGUGUUAAAAGUGGGGUGUUAAACUUUAACAUGAGUGUUUGCGUGAUUGAUGAUUUGUGUUGCUGUUUUGCUCAUUGGAUAUCCCGUUCUUCGAUUGAAGGUGGACUACCAAUAUGCUUGAUGGUGUAUGAAUCACGAUAAUUGAGCUUCAGAAAUGCGGUGGUUUGCCGGCAGGUCGCAGACUCUCUUCGUUUCUUGUAGGCAACAUUUUGUGAUACGGCCCAGCCCACACAGCAGCACAGCACAACGGUCCCACGCAGCCGCCGCACCCCCGCUCGCACUAGCGCCGCCGCUUGCCCGCACGAACGCCGCCGCUCCCCGGCAAGGGGGACUGGACGAGCACUUACGGACGUCGCAGCACGCUCGAGCGCCGCUGCCCCCCCGCUCGCGACGAACAUCCACCUCCAGCGCUCGCCGUUAUCUCCGGUGAGUUUCCCCUUCUAGAUCUAGCGUUCCUCUGGAGUCUGGAUUGAUCCUCCCCAGUUAUUUUCCUCGUUGAUUUCCUCCUCCCCACAUGUUCUUCAUUUCUUGAGGAGUAGAUGGCAGCAUCGAGCAGCACUAGUGCUAGAGUAGUAUCUGCGGCCGCAACCGACAUCAAGGCUCCACUAUGUGAUCGUGUUGACAUUUUAGAGAAACCUAAAUCUGGUGUAAGCAAUAUUUUCUGGAAAUGCAAUUAUUGCUCAAUGGAGAAGUUCACUAGCUACACUAGGGUAGUGUGAACUUUGUUAUGCAUUGCUAUUUAUUAUUCUUAAAAAAAUGCUGAAACAUAUGCGCAUAUUGGAGUUUUCAGGUGGAAAUGCCGUACCCGCCUAUCCAUGUAACAUAGGGAGUAAGCGCUCACUACGCUGUGCUGUUUUGAUUAAUCAAAUCAGAAAGGUUUCUGAGUCUGAACUGUAUUGUUUUUGUAAUGUAUGGGCUUAAGCCACAACCUGAGAAUUUCUCCAUACUUAUUUGUAUUCAUUAUAGAAAUUUAAGAAUUAUCGGCAGUAGUAUGAAAAUGUUUGCUUCUCCUGUAUUUCACUUAUGAAUCACAUCUUAAGGUUACAUUUGAUCCAUUGAGCUUAAAUAAAUUAGAACCGAAAAGCUAGAAGUUUUUAUUGAUUCAAUAUCUGGUUUUGUGAAGAAUAAGGCAAGAUGGCAAUGGCCACAUCAUCAGCAUACCCUCCGCCUCCACCAUUUUACCGACUUUACAAGGAUUACGAGCAAGAUCCCUCAUCUGCACCAGAACCUCCACCGCCAAUUGAUGGAAUAUAUACAGUCUUUGGUGUUGAGCGCAAAGUAUGUUGCUUAUUGUACUUUUCAUGCUACCCUCUUAUUCGUUUUGCUAAACUCACUGUGAUUUGUCUCCAUGGUAUCUAGGUAAAUGAGGGGCUGCAAAGCUUGGAGAGUCUAGGUCUCCGCCAGCUUUAUCCAAAGGGUCCCAAUAUUGGUGCGUCUUGUUCUUGAGAAAUAGAUAUGUUUAUCUGAGUAUUCAUAUUUAUCUCAAAUGUCUGUGAUUUUUUGAAUGUUAGAAAUAUUUAUAAGCAUAAGCCAGUUUAAUUUUUUAUACCAAAUAAGUUGUUUCUACAAUUUUGAGUACUUAAUAACUUGUAUCUUUGGUUUAAUGAGCUGCCUCUUUGGAAAAUUGAUUAAAUUUAGACUUCAAAAAGGAGCUGAGGACCCUUAACAGAGAGCUUCAACUGCAUAUUUUGGAGCUGGCAGAUAUUUUAGUGGAGAGACCUUCUCAGUACGCUCGCAGGGUAGAAGAUAUUUCACUCAUAUUCCAGAACUUACACCAUCUUCUCAAUUCCCUACGGCCACAUCAGGUGUGAGCGUGUGAGCCUAGUCUUUGUUCCAUAUGGUGUAUUGGUGUAUUGGUGUAUUUUUGUGCAAUUCCCAAAAAUGUAACAUUCUUUAAUACCUCUUAGGCAAGGGCCACAUUGAUUCACAUGCUUGAGAGCCAAAUUCAGCGCCGGAAGCAAGCAAUUGAAGAUAUAAAACAGUGAGUAACUGCUCCUUUUACAUUCUUUAAUAUCUUUAGGCAAGGGCCACAUUCAUUGACAUGCUUGAGAGCCAAAUUCAGCGCCACAAGCAAGCAAUGGAAGAUAUAAAACAGCGAACAACUAGUCCUUUAGCUUGGAUGCAUAAAUUGGAAAAUGGAUUGUGUCCAGACAUGCUUCCUUGUUCACAAAUGUUGCAAAAUUCUUUUUGUGUCUUUUUUCUUUUACUACAGCAUUACAACUUUUGCACAGUAAAGAACUGAAGAAGUGAAGUAUUGUUAUCCGUUACAAUACCGAAGGACCAUUUAACUACUGUUUACUGCUUCAGUUUGAAAUGUAUAUUGUAGUUCAGGAGAUGGGUGUCUGAUAGUUUUGAUAAGAAGUGGUAGAGAACAUGGUAUUCGAUAAAGUUGAUUUGUUACCUUGAAUACACAUUUUAUACAUUAUCCUGUAUGUCUGCUUCAUUUUUGUGUGUAACCUUCGUCUCAGGGACCAUAAUAAUUAAUCGCUUGCUUGCAAAUCUUUUUUUUCAUUGUAAAUUGUGACUGCACAAAUGUAGUAUUUUGACAACCCAUGAGUAUUUUCUUACUUCAGGAGGAGACAGGAAGCGCAAACUCUGCUUGGCGAAUCACUGCUUGUCUUAGAUGGAAGCCAAGCUAAUUAGGCUGGUGCCAUUUGACUGUCAGAAGACAGAUUAGUGCUCUAUGAGUUCGAUAGUGUGUGUAGAAGUUUGCUUGCAGGGACAACCCAGAGACGGUAUUGAGAUAUUUCUUGCUUCUUGUGGUGUCUGUUGUCGCCUUGUUGUAUUUCAGCUUUGAUCACUGAAUCUUGUACAUUGAUGGUCGAUGCUAACAUACUCCAGCUACUUCAUGCUUUAACUGUGAUGUUUAUGUUCCAUACCUUUUCUCAGUUGGGAGUUGCUGUUGCAUACUUGCAUUAGUCUGUAGUCUUAGCGGAUUGUGUGGUUGAUGCCCAUACUUUAGAUGCUUCUUUAAUUUUAUUUUAUAUUGCUAUGCGAUUGCAUGCCGAAACAAGUCGGUCAAAUGCCAAGGGAUUAAACCUGGUAUUACGAGAGCCAAUGUGUUCUGUAAAAGUGCGACGGGCUAGUUUGUUAUAUAUGUCCAGUUUUGAUUACUAGCGAUUCCAUCGUCUUGUUGCCACACAUCCUCUGCAUCCUAUUUUCUAUGAGCCCGUGUCUACUUGCUGCGGUUUUGUCAGUACAAAUAUUGCGAAGCAGUAUUUUAGUUACUGAUUGUGGGUUAUCUGAGUUUAAAGGCUCCCCUGUUUGGUAGCCGCCAGAGCUCGCAAGAGCCGCGCCUAACCUGUGGCGGACAAAACGUCCGCCACGCUUUUGGCGUACUACAGCGCACGGUUAUCGCUAAGCUCCGCUUCCUAUGACUAGCUUGGCUGUUUAUGGGAUAGCGUCAAACAUGUGAAUAGCCCGUCACGUCUGUUUUCCUCUUCCCGUAAAAGUUUCAGAUCCUGACCAUCCGACCUUCCACCGACGGCUACGAUUGCUGUCCCGCCAACCAGAGCCAAACACGCCUACCGAGGCGUAAAGGCAAAACUUGCAACCGAAGAGCAUAGGAAUACUUGCAAAAAUCAGAACACGCGAAUCCAUUGGAUUGGCAAGCAGUAUAUCAACAGACAUGUAAAAAAACAUCGUCUUCCAAUAACUAAUAAUGUGAAUGAGAGAACCCCACAACGGAUAGCAAAAGAGUCUAGAACAUCCACAAAUGCUCGAUUGCAAUUUAGGACAGUCUAGAACAUCCACAAAUGCUCGAUUGCAAUUUAGGACAAUCUCUUGUGUAAUCCGCAAAAGUGAUCCAGCAAUGCCUCGCCACAAAAUAUUACUGGAGUAUCUAUGUCACUGCCACCUGCACUCAACUACUGAAAUGCUUUUAAUCACAAUGCAUGCGCUUCUCCGUUUGAAGUUGCUAAUGAUAAGAUGCCCAGUAACAACAGGCUGGACAGUUUCUUGCCGUCUGAGUGCAAAUAAAUCCAUGAAACUAUCUUAACUACAGGAGCCCCUCAGUAGAAAACAGAAGCCAUCAGCCGCAAUGGACUCCAGAUAAGCCACACUCCUAAAACACACAGAAAGAAAGUGUCAAAGAAUCACUCAUCUAGACCUAAUUUAGAUCAAUUGGUAGACCGUACAGACAGAUGCACAAAGGAAUGGGUGUGGAUACCAUCAGCUGCGACAGAAAACAACAUAUAUUGCCACCCCCUUCUAAUUGGCCAGGCGCUUAUGAGGUGAGGUAAGGCAACGUCAUACUAAUCCAAGAAAUUGCAAACCAGCAGCGUGGAGGACGCAAAAGGAAGGAAAACAAAAGGAUAAGAAGGGGCUCGCCCAACCUACCAGCCAGCCCAUAUGCUCCUCGGGCCCAUGCUGUAUAGGGUCAUCUGAUCCAGUGCGGCCACUACCCCUACGGCCCUCUUGCUUCCUCCACACCCCUGUUCUACAGUUCACUACUGCGACCUGCAACUCUCCUCCCGGUCGCUUCCUUCCUUCACUGCUCUGUGAUCUCUGAUGAACCGCAGCUGCUGCCCCUCCUCUCCCCCAGGUCGACAAUGCCACAGUUUACUGGAGCAAAUUUUGCACCACCCACACCGGAGCCAGCGGGGACACACAGAAUUCCAGCACGCCUCAUCUCCUAGGUGACGACUUGAAAAAUAUACACAUCACAAUAGUCUAGAAAGUAUCUCUCUAAAGUUAUAAUAACAAAUAAUCAUGUAGCUAAUCUCUAAGGCUCUUCCUAAAGAAUGCUAAGCAAUCUUAUGUAAUUCAUUUUACGAACAUCACAAGAUUAGAAGACUAAUAUUCUAAAAGACUAAACAGCACAUAAUGGGAGCAGCAUUAAUAUCCUGAGCUCACAAUGAGACUAUGAUAGUCAGAUACAGGAUUGCAAGCUAUCUUUUUUCACAGCUCAACACUAACCUUUUGUGAACUACCCAGGAAGCUCUUGGCUUUAAAUCUUUAUGGAAAUUUUGAGUCCUUAUGAUCCCCGUUCAACAAGGCAGUAAAACAGUUUGCUAGUUCCGAGAUAUCAACCUCAGUAGAAUAUCAUUAAUUCUUAUUCUAGACCACCGUUAGAAAUUAGAACAGUAGUUUAGCAUAAAGUUUGGAAGUAAAUUAUUAAAAGAGCUCUGUAGGUUAAGACCAAUCAAGCAGGACUCUACUGCUGCUAUGUAAAGAGAUUGUCACACAGUUGAGUUUCCUGAACAACACACUUCUUAGAACUAAUGGUAAAUUUUAUUUGAAUUGGCAUACCUUCACUAAAAUUCCGGGAAUGAAGUUUCUGGCUCCAUCUUAGCAGCAACAAAAAGUUCAAUGAUUAUAUGCCUAGCUUAUCAAGUUUACACGUAUGGGUGCCACAUGGAGUGGAAAGUAGAAUAUAUAGUUCCGAAUUCAAAGACAUACUGUGUUUGGAAAAUGAAGAUCAUUUGGAUCACUAACAAGUUAAAAUUUAUCACACAGACAAGUUACGCAAUUAAGGCAGACAGCAUAUGGAUUACAAUCUUUCAAACUCAUGUACCCAUUACCUCAAUAGAUGCUUAUCGGCUUGUCAAGGCAUGUGGCAUCAAUAACGUGGUCAACAAUAUUUCCUUAACAUAUAUUAGUGGUCAAAGAUGAGCAAAUGGAACUGCGGGGCACACAAAGCAACGUCUCACAGUACUAGGAAGACUACGUCUAAGUGCUAACAGGAACUGCAUAAUCAUCAAAUAUAAGUGUAUGAUAACUAGCAAAGACCGAAUCUCGCUUCAGAACCUAUAACAUCAGAAAUGCAGUAAUACAAAAGCAUUCCAAGUUUGAAUGCCUACAAUAUAAGAAAUAGUGGUCCAAGUGCAUGCUAGUACUAUAGCAUGGAAACGAAUUACAGCAAUACCGCAUGCAAGAGUCAAUCACAUGACGGUGAAAGAAAUGCAAGUAUUUUUUCUCGAAACAAAAAGCCCUAGAGCCAACUCUAACAGAAAAUACCAGAACGUACCACCAACCCAUGGCAGUAGUCUAGUAGGAGAGUUGAUAAACUACUAACUAGUUUCAUAACUGCUGCUCCAUAAAAAGGCGAAAUAAAUCUACACUGUCCCAACCUUAGUUAAGUAAAACAAAGUGUAAGGGCUGCUUUUGUCCAUAAAUCAUGUUGAAAUAUGCAAUGCAUACUUGAAAUAUUUUAGAAGAUUGUGGAGAUCUCAAGAAACUAAUUUUGCCAUGUAUAAGGAUAAGAUCAUGGCAAGGUAAGAAGGUUUCCUAGGUGGUUCUCCAUGUUUCAAUUAACAGAUGUGGUGUUGUAAUAAAGCAUAAAGGAACACAGAGUAAAAAAAUAAAUAAACAUAACCAUGUUGUUCAUUUUACCAACCCAAUUGAGCAAACUAAGCAUCAUCUACCAACAAAUUUAAUUAAAACAACCCGACUGCAAGGUAUGAUCAAAAGAGACUAGGCAUCAUCCUUAAUAGGAACCCAUCAUUUUAAUGCAAGCGAUAGAUAAAUAUUGUGCAUAAAUUGCAUGUCAUUUAGGUAUAAACGGGAAUGACCAAGGACACUUGCCUUCCUUAGAGCCCUACUGCUGCUCAGAGCCUUCAAAGCCUUGAUCUUCUAUGAAUUCUUUGAACGGCGCACUCUAUACGCAUCACACAAGUACAUGCAAAGAAAGCAAUACAAAAAAUGAAAAACAAUACACCAAUAGAAAUAGUAGAACUAAAAAGUGGUACAAACUAUUAUAUACGUUAUUAUGAACACUUGAGCAGAAGAAUCACUCAAAAUGGAGUUAAAACGCGAAAGAUAUGCACUAAACAAGGUUAGGGGCUUGUUGGCAAGUUUUAGAAACUUCCAAGGGCUUAACUGUGAAAACCAAGGGCAUAAAUGUAAAUACACAUAUAAACACGAGGCCUAACACAUAAAAAGCUAAAACCGAACUAUAAUGAGAGAAUCUAUACUUUCUGAGGGCUUUUUUCACAAAAGUUACAAGACACCUAACUACUACAAUUAAUUACAUGCUUUUUCGAGGAUCAAAUCGCAAAAAGGUCAUCUUCCAGCUCCAAACCAGAGCAGCGAUGGUUGUUCUCGUGGCAAUGGGGGCUUGGGACGGUGCUGGUGGCACUAGCGCGGGUGCACAGGCGAACGGCUAGCGGUGCGAGGGCGCGGGGCAGCUAGGGGCGCGGAGGCGGGAAAGUGCGGGCGCAGGUAGGGCGAGCAGGUGGUUGAGCGAGCGCGACUCAGGCGCGGGCACAUGGGCGGCCGAGCAAGAGGGGCAGCACUUCUACGGCUUGGGAAGUGUCGACCAUGGCCGGUGCUAUGAAACAGAGCGACAACGAGAGACUAGAAGGGGAUCGAUGACCAUGAUUCAUUACACUCGCAUAAGAUGGUGAAACAGCGAUACCGACGAGAUGAAUGCGAUGGUGUCCUCACCUUACGGUGUAUUUGCUUGUCAAAGUUCUCGUCGGAAAGUUUGUUGGAGUUCCGGAGAUCCAAAAAUUCGGCGUCCAACCCAGGAAGUUAGGGUUUGCAAAAUGAGAUUGGGUUUGCGGGGUUGGAAAGCGAACGUCGAGGAGAUUACCGGGUAUAUUUAUAGUUAGGGUAGGAGUCGGGUUUUAUAUUCUCCUUUUUCUUAUUUCAGGAAUUAAAAUAAUAUGGUUUGGGACACGGGAAAUCCAAAUAAAAUAUUUAAAGCUAGGGAAAAACUAUGUAGGACCUUAUAAAAAUUAGAUUUAGCUCUAGGAACAAGAGAAUAAAUUCUCAGAAAAACCUAAACCUCGCAUAACGCAUUUUUAAAAUUUUUACACUCAUGAAACACCAAAAUGCACAUGCAUGAAUUCAUGAAACACACACUCAUUUGGACUAAAUUAUUGGAUAUGAUAUUUAAAUUCAAUUAGCCUAUGGAAAUUCCAAUUAAAUACUAGGAAUUUAAAUAAGCCUUAAAUAAAAAUAGAAAAUUCAGAAAGUUGCUAAAUAAGUUGUGUGACGAAUUUUAGGGUGUUAUGUAGGUGCUUCCUUCCGGUUGCUAAAUAAAUUCAGAAAGUUGCUAAAUAAAAUCUAGUUCCAUCCACAUAUACGGCUGGUGUCUAAAUAGGGGUCGUAUCACGUCCACACAGGAACACUACCUGGGAAACAAAUGCAUCAUCAUAACAUGGCAUACAAUGCCACCAGGUCCUCCGGACCUCAACCUAUGACCAAUGCCGACCAGACCUGGGGCUAUGCCAAGGUCCUGCUCUAGUCUACCUGUUGCCCACUGUGGCCUCUUGAGAUGGUUUACUAGGUCCAACUUAGGGAUGAAAAUGGUACAGAUAUUAUCCACCUGUUCGUCCGACCGAAGGGGUUCAGAUACUCAAAUGGUAAGAUUCGGAUAAACUCAAAUGGUAAGUUCGUAUCCGAAUUCGGACAUUCAAUAUCCGUACCAUAUCCAAAUCUAGAUACUCAAAAUUGCAUUUCUAAGAUCCUAAUAGGAUGAAUAACAAUAUUCAACACAUCUUGUCACUAUUUGUAUCCGAAUUCGAUCUAAGAAAAAAAUAACUAUAUAUAUUUGUAUCCGCAAUAUCCAUUCGUAACCGAUCCAUUUUCAUCCCUAGUUCAGCUGGUGGGGUGUGAAUCAAGGCUUCACAUGGACAGGCACUCCCAAAGGCUGUACCUUUUCGGCACGUAUGGUUGCACGCUUUCACUAGAAAGAUUUGCCCAUGAAUCGGUCCUUAUAUGACCGAAGUAAGCUCUUGAGACAGGAUCCUCCACCAAGGCUGUCCCCCAACUCCCAAGUCUCUUCCUUAAUAGUAUCUAACCCUUAGUUGGUUCUUUUUAUGUUUUUCUACAAAACACACACAUUUAGGAUUUUCCUUGAAAAACAUUGUAUAUGUGAUAUUAGUAAGAUAUUCUAUUUCUAAAAUAACGCUCGAUCGUUGAUCCAGUCAUGAUCGGGGUCAUUUAUGAGAUUUUUGGCUAGAAGUGGCUCCAAGUCAAGGCAAGGAAGAGAAUAGAUGUGGGUUGCUCCUAUGGUUUUAUAAAAUUAUGCAAGUCAAGUUAUUAUAUUGGCAACUUUUAAUAUUUAUGAAAAAUAUAAGAUAAAAAUAUGAUCAAGGAAGAAGGUGCUAGGACCGGCCUUCAUUGACGUUUCCUAGGUUGACCAGGGGCUCGGCUUCUUGCCUUCUGGAUUCUCAGCUUCUUGUCAGAGCCUGGUCAGGUGAACGCUUCUACACGUCUUGUUCAUGGCCCGACCUUCAUAUCCCUUCAUAUCUUCUGGAUCCUUGGCUUAUGGCCAGGUCUUGGUCAUGUCCUUGGUUCACACAAACAUACGAAUAUACAAUCAAUUGUAGCAAAUAAUAUAUGACUAAAGAAAAUGGAAUAGGACUGUUGAUGGACGCUUUGGGAAUUAUCUAAAUGAUAAUCCCCGGAUAAAAGAUGAAAUGGUUUGUUAAUUAUUUAGGAAUAAGUUUCUACAUAAAUAAAUGGAUAAAAUUGUUGAAUUUUGAGAAGAAUUCUAAGAAAUAAGGAAUGGAUUUUCUAGGGUUUUUGACAGGCAUCAUGAUGGCUAGAUUUUAUUGAUAUCUAAGAUUUUGGUUGGCGGCAUAUCGACUAGGUUUUGGAAUAGACCCUAGGUAUGAUUUGGAUGUUGGAUGGUGCAAAUGGAUUUCAAGGCUAUGAAACUUGCAUGACAUGCUCGGCUUCGACUCGGGGGUCAGCCGUACAAUAGGUGGAGCUAGUCAAGUUUUCUUGGACGUGGGUGUCUGUCAAUCCUGGGACAUUAUCCAUCAAAAUCUUCCACCUUUUGGUAGAUUUUGCAAACAAUAUGUAUAUAUGUUGGAUGAGAUAAAAAAAUAAAUAGCUUAGCUGCAAUAUUUAACAAAUAGUAAGUUUCAAACUUUUCCCAAGUCAUGGCAUAUUAUAUGAAAACAAUGCAUAAUAGAAAUAAUAGUUUACCUGCAAGAUUUUCUAAUAUCACAAAGAGUAAGAUUCAGACUAUGACAUGCACACGGCAUGUAUAGUGCUCUUCGAUUAAUUUCAAGCAAGCGCUUCUGAACACCUUGGUGAGGACCCUUCAUAUUUGAACCAUUAUUAUAGCCUUGUCCUCUCACAUCAUCAAUAUUCAAAUCAAUAGAGGCCAAUACAUUCUUUAAUUCAUUCAAGAGAGGCCAAUACAUUCUUUAAUUCAUUAAAAAGAUCCAAUCCUGAUGUGUCAUCUACCUUCAAGAACUCUAGGAAGAACUCCUUUACCCUUGGAACAUUCCUCGACAUAUUGACACACCGAAUAAUUAGAGUCAUUUGUUCUUCAUGGCCCACAUCUGGAGUACAAUCUAAAAUCACAGAAAAAUACUUGGCAUCCUUGAUGAUCUUUAAUGCAGUUUGUUUCACACAAUCUGCAAGAAGAGAAAUCAUCUCAUUCUGAAUUUUAUGCCCAAGAUAAUGAUGAUCAAUCUCACUAUUUUAAAUCUGCCUAAUAUGGUCUUGCAUCACGGGAUCAAAUUCACUCAUCAUUUCAACUGUGCCCAAAAAGUUACCAUUGCUAUCUUGAUAUAGUUUCUCAUUUUUCCCUCGAAAAGUAAAAUUAUGUUUAGCAAGAAACUUGACUGCAGAAAUAAUUUCUUACUAAAACUUGUCUCCAACAUUCUCUCUCCUUUGGAAUUUCCCGUUGCAAAUCAUCAUCAAUUAUUUUAUUUUUGCUCAACCUUAGCCUAAGUUCAUUCCAAGUAUUCAUGUUUGUUAUAUGCUCAACACUAUUCUCAUGUUGCUUGAGUCUAACACUAAGAUGUUUCCAGUCCCUGAAUCCAUCAUGUGCUAGCAAACUUUUGCUCUGACUUGAUUUGAACAAUUUGAAGCAAAAACAAAAAACUUUGUCCACAUGUUUAGAGUAAACCAACCAUUUUCUAUCAACCACAUCACCAUUGCUUAACUUUCUGGAGUACUAAGCAUAUGUAAAACGUCUAUUAAGAGCAUCUAUGGGGAACUCAAGAUUCAAUUCUCUCACUAGCCCCUUUUCAAUCAAUAUAUCUCUACCCUUUUUAUCAAGAUUUUCCCAAGCUCUAGGAUCAAAGACAUCAUCAAUAGAAUCUUCUUGCACAUCAUCAAUUGAAUUUUCAGGUUGAGAGGAAGGCCGUAAAUUUUCAUUCUCUGUAGCAACAUCAAUGACAUCAACUUGUUCACUUAAAUUAUCAUUAACUUGUUGCUGCCCUUGUUCUUCAAUAUCAAGUCCGCAAUAUUUUAGUGGAGAGACCUUCUCAGUAUGCUCGCAGGGUAGAAGAUAUUUCACUCAGUAUGCUCACAGGGUGAAGAGACCUUCAAAAGGGAGCUAAGGACCCUCCACAGAGGGCUUGCUUGCCUCGCUGAGGGAGCUAGCUUCAAAACCAGCGCAGAUUUCAUGGGCUGGUACUUGAUUGAGGUCCCGAACUGCGACCGGAUGGAGCUGGAGCACCUCUACAAUAUACCCUGAUCAUCAGUCCCAAUAUGCAGAUGGCAGGCUCUGCAGCUAUGGCGUUGCAAAAAUCAAUGCAGAGCUGCACGAUGGUGCUUCUCUGAAGCCUCCUUUUGUUAUGUGAACUUUCUUAACAUUGUUGGCCUCUGUCUGUUUACUGUUGCUCUGGAGCAUUGUGUGGCAUCGGGACAAGGUGUGCUCCCAGCUGCACAUCGAUGUGGUGGACUGGUUGUGUUUGUUUUUCCCACCUGGGUAGUGUUCAGGGUGUACUCGACUCUUUCAAACUGAGCUUUGUGUUUAGGCUUUGGAAGUGUUGAUGCCUCUCCGAAAGUGUGAGCUCAAGCGGAGCCUUGUAAUGAAGGGGGCGUUUAGUUCCCUUUGCUUAUUUUUAAGCAAGUGUCACAUCAAUGUUUAGAUACUAAUUAAGAGUAUUAAACGUAGGCUAUUUACAAAACCCAUUACAUAAGUGGAGGUUAAACAGCGAGACGGACCUAUUAAGCCUAAUUAAUCCAUCAUUAGCAAAUGUUUACUGUAGCAACACAUUGUCAAAUCAUGGACUAAUUAGGCUUAAUAGAUUCGUCUCGCCGUUUAGCCUCCACUUAUGUAAUGGAUUUUGUAAAUAGUCUACGUUUAAUACUCCUAAUUAGUAUCUAAACAUUCGAUAUGACGGGUGCUUAAAAAUAAGCAAACGAACCAAACCAGGCCGAACUCAAAACCUUUUAUGUCCUGUUGUGUAAUGCAUAUGGACUAGGGUGGUUGCCCUGGAACUCUAAAAUAUGUCACUCAUAUUCCAGAACUUGCACCAUCUUCUCAAUUCCCUACGGCCUCAUCAGGUGUGACUUGUGAGCCUGAGUUUUUGUUCCAUAUGGUGUUGUAUUUUUCUGCAAUUCCCAGAAAUGUACUUACAUUCUUUAAUACCUUUUAGGCAAGGGCCACAAUGAUUCACAUGCUUGAGACAAAUUCAGCGCCGCAAGCAAGCGAUUGAAGAUAUAAAACAGUGAGUAAUUGGCCCUUCUUUUACAUUCUUUAAUAUCUUUUUUGGCAAGGGACACGUUGAUUGACAUACUUGAGAGCCAAAUUCAGCGCCACAAGCAAGCAAUUGAAGAUAUAAAACAGCGAGUAACUAGUCCUUCUUUAGCUCGGCUGCAUAAGUUGGAAAAUGGAUUGUGUCCAGACACGCUUCCUGGUUCACAAAUGUUGUAAAAAUCUUUUUGUGUCUUUUUUCUUGUACCACCGCAUUGCAACUUUUGCAUAGUAAAAAACUAAGAAGUGGAUUAUAGUUAUCCGUUGCAAUACCGAAGGACCAUUAACUACUUGUUGACUGCUUCAGUUUGAAAUGUAUAUUGUAGUUCAGGAGAUGGGUGGCUGAUAGUUUUGAUAAGAAAUGGUAGAGAACAUGGCAUUCAUGCAUUUGAUAAAGUUGAUUUUGCUGCCUUGAAUACACAUUUUAUAGUAUCCUGUAUGCUGUGCCUUAUUUUUGUGAGUAACCUUCGUCUCAGGGACCAUAAUAAUUAAUCACUGCAUAAAUGUCGUAUUUUGACAACUCAUUGAGUAUUUUCUUACUUCAGGAGGAGACAGGAAGCGCAAACGCUGCGUAGCGAAUCACUUCUUGUCCUGGAUGGAAGCCAAACUAAUUAGGCUGAUGCCAUUUGAUUGUCAGAAGACAGAUUACUAUGAGUUCGAUAGUGUGUGUAGUAAUUCCCUGGCAGAGACAACCCAGAGGCCAGAGAUCUUUACUUGCUUCUUGUGGUGUCUGUUGUCUCCUUAUUGUAUUUCCAGCUUUGAUCACUGAAUCUUGUACAUUGAUAGUCAAUGCUAACAUACUCCUCCAGCUACUUCAUGCUUAACUGUGAUAUUUAUGUUCCGUACCUUUUCGCAGCUGGGAGUUGCUGUCGCAGUUGAUAUUUAUGUCUUAGCGGAUUGUGUGGUUGAUGCCCAUACUUUAGAUGUUUCUUUAAUUUUAUUUUAUAUUGCUAUGCGAUUGCAUGCCGAAACAGGUGGGUCAAAUGCAAGGGAUUAAACCUGGUGUUACAAGAUGUGGUCUGUAAAAGUGCACCGGACUAGUUUGUUAUAAGCCCAGUGUUGAUUAGUGAUUACUCCCUCCGUCUCAAAUUACUAUUCGUUUUGACUUUUCUAGUUAUAUAGUUUUACAUAUGCACCUAGAUAUAUACUAUGUCUAAAUACAUAGUAAAAGUUUAUGUAUCUCUGAAAAUGAAAACGAAUUGUAAUUUGGGAUGGAGGAAAGUUUCUGUAUCUCUGAAAGCGAAAAUGAAUUGUAAUUUAGGAUGGAGUACUAGCGAUGCCAUCGUCUGUGGCCACACAUCCCCUGCAUCCUAUAUUUUUGCAUCCUAUAUUUUCUAUGAGCUCGUGUCUUCCUGCUGCGGUUUUGUCAGUAUCAGUAAUUACAAAUAUUGCGACACAGUAUUAUAGUUGCUUAUUGUGGUUACUGGUACGCAUUCCGCUUAAUAGAUUCGUUUGCUUAAUAUUGCGACACAGUAUUAUAGUUGCUUAUUGUGGUUACUGGUACGCAUUCCUGCUGCGGUUUUAUCAGUAUCAGUAAUUACAAAUAUUAGCAAAUGUUUACUGUAGCAACACAUUGUCAAAUCAUGGACUAAUUAGGCUUAAUAGAUUCGUCUCGCCGUUUAGCCUCCACUUAUGUAAUGGAUUUUGUAAAUAAUCUACGUUUAAUACUCCUAAUUAGUAUCUAAACAUUGAUGUGACACUUGCUUAAAAAUAAGCAAAUGAAACCAAACCAGGCAUUAGUUAUCCUGGUUACUAGUUGCUUCUUGGGCCGGUUCCUUUUGUUUUAUUUUGGGCCGGCAGAGCGCUAAAACUGUGGUCCAGCAACAUCGACUGUUGGCUUGACUAGUGACGAACUGACGACGGAUUCCUUCAACACGAAAGAAGAUCAGCGGGGCAUGCUUCGAAUCGAAUAAUCAUCAACUUGGCCAAGAAACAAAGUGUGAACAAAAUGAAAGAGAGGCUGCUACAACAUCUAGAACCUUCUGGGUGGAGUCAAAGCAACAAUCAACUUUAACUGAAUCAACAUUGCUGUACCCAACUAGCACUCCAUUCUGCAGCCGGGACGCAAACAUGGAGACAUAUCUCAACCGUCAGAUCGUCCCGCCAUGCAAAUCGGGUCGCGAAUCGCACCAUUUCCUGGCUCUCUGCCGUACUAGCAAACUCGUGCCGCGCACGGGGGGAUCGCGGAGGUCAAACCGGGCACGUUGCCUGGCCAUCACGGCCGCCCGUGUCCCGGGGUCCGUCGCACCGAAGCAAACGCGCGGCCGACGCCUCCCUCCCGCCCGACUUUUUUUGUUUUUUAAGUCCUUUUUGCGAAAGAUUCUUACAAAUAGAUCCCUGGCAGAACCAAUUCCAAAAAUGGACCCUUAGCUUGGCGCCAUCCACGCUGGCGCCAAGCUAUAACGUCUCGGCGCCAGCCAUCCUGGCGCCAAGGUCUAUACAUAGCUACUGACGCGGAAUCCGACGUGGUGGGGGCUUGCCAAGCCUUGGCGCCAUGGAUCUUGGCGCCAAGCUUGACGCCGUAGAUCUUGGCGCCGAGCUAUCUACACCGUCCUUCCACGCAUUUCGAACUAAACAAGUAUAAUUAUUCUGAGAAAUAUGCAACAAAUUAAGCUGUGGUUCAACUGGUUAGGAGGAGGGCUUCUUAUCCUGGAGACUAGAGUUCGAAUCCCACUAUUGAACCAUUUUUUCUACAUUUUAUUUUUUUCUCUGUUCUACAGGUAAACAUGCACCAGUUCAACACUGGGGUCAAGCUCGGCGCCAGCGUCCUUCCACAUUUGUUUUUUUUUUGAGAGACGAACCCCAGCUCGGCCACUCUGCGAAACGUGAAGCCCACUUCCUAACCAGUUGAACCACAGCUUAGUUUGUUGCAAACUAUUCGGAAUAAUUAUACUUGUUCAGUUCGAAACGUGCAGAGGUACGGGGUAGAUAGCUCGGCGCCAAGAUCUACGGCGCCAAGCUUGGCGUCAAGAUCCAUGGCGCCAAGGCUUGGCGCCAUCAUGGAUGGCGCCAAGCCCCCGCCACAUCGGAUUCCACGUCAGCAGCUAUGUAUAGACCUUGGCGCCAGGAUGGCUGGCGCCGAGACGUUAUAGCUUGGCGCCAGCGUGGAUGGCGCCAAGCUAAGGGUCCAUUUUUGGAAUUGGUUCCGCCAAGAGUCUAUUUGUGAGAAUCAUUCGGAAAAAGGACUAAAAAACAAAAAAAGUCGGCCCUCCCGCGAGGGCAGCGACGACCCUCGCGGCUACGCGGUACGCCCUCGAGUAUUUAUCGUUCGGCCCCUCGAAAAUCUCCCACGUUUGCUUCUCCAACCACCUGCCCCCCCGC